ACUUUGAAAACUCCACGCGGCGUCGACUGGUGCUUUUUCUCUCUAUUAUUGUUUGAUUUAAUCUUGUUGAAUUGGUUGGGAGUGGCCACCUAGUAUUUAAUUGAGGGUUACUAAGAAACCCAAUUAUACUGGUCUUGUCAGAAAUUCACGGGUAAAAAACCGAUUGUGAUUAGGAAAGAUAUUAACAUCCCUAACGCACCCUACUUAAAGUAAGCUGCUUCGUGGACUUGAUAUGUUAAAGAAGUUUUAAAAAUUUUAUCUUUUCAUCGGACUUUAGAAAUAUAACUUCCAUACAAGUCUGUACUUCUAUACCAUGAUCCAAUCAAAAUCUUAAAUCCUUCUUUAUUCUUUACAGUCUCAUCAUGAAAAAAAAAGUUCAUAAAACAAAUACAAACACACAUACACUUUCACUAUAUUUUUUCUUUUUUAUUUUUUUUUUGUUUUCAAAAUACAAAUAAAAAUUUAAACUAAACAAAUAUUACAUUAAACACUUUACAAAUUAUAGAAUAACCUAAAAAUUCCAUAACAGUGCUGGGAGGUCCUUCGAGGGUAGUGGGUUCACGCGCCACUGGAAACCUAGGCAAGUAGGAGGGUCAGUAACGGCUUCCUCUCUUCUUCCCCUCUCACCGGCGGUGACCUGCAAAAGUACCAAAAAACGUAAUAGGCAAAGUGUUUUAAUCUUCUUUCAUGAUUUUCGGAUCUGCUUUCUCUUCUCUUUUAAAUCUGUUUCAUUGUAGAUAAGCUUUUCUAUGGUUUUUCUUCGUCUUCCCCUCCGCUUCGGGUAGCUGGCAGAAGGAGGAAGGACGACACACCGAUGCAGAUUAGUUUCACUGUGUUCGGGCCGCCGCUGAAGGCCGUUGGGUGUGGAGCGGCUCGCCUGGGUGACUCGAUCGGUCGGUUACCUGCUGGAUCUAGUCGAUCGCCGACCCUUCUUUCUUGUUCGGUUGGUGGUGGUCGUGGAAGGAGAGCUGGUCUAUGGGGAGGAGCUGCUAUGUUGUUGUUGCCACUGGAGGCUAUUCGGCUGCCACCAAGACCUGUCGAUUCCUGUUUUGUGUGUGGGAAAGCAGAUGGAUCAGUGAGGGGGAAGAUCUGUUUUUGUGUUUUGUUUCAGGGAGGAAGGUCUGUGAACUGGUGGGUGUUGGUGUGGCUAGGUCAAGGGAGAGGGAAAAACUAUG